CGGCGUUGACCGGUUAAUGUCGUUUGUUUUGCUAACGUCAGUUUGUCUACGUUUCUUGCGGUGUGGGGACAGACUGACUUGAGAAAUAUAUAAUGUAAAUAUGUUUUUUAAUUUAAAUAAUUAAACUCCUUUACCAUACGCGUUACUAAGGCAUGGUGAAUAUGCCUUUUUACAUUUCUGUCUAAUUACAGGUCACGUGAACCAAUCAGAAGCCGCCGCGGACCAAGCACCUGCUCCUGCACCUGUCCACCAUUUUAUGACGUAACUGACAGGCCACCCGUCUGUGCAUGUGGGCGUGAGAAGUGCGCAUGGACUUCCAAUCAGUGGAAGCUACGGACGGCCCGGUGCUCUACGCUUGGAGGCAGCCAUCUGUCAGCUGACGCUUGGUCGCCACAGCAAUCAGAACGCUCUGCGGCGGGUCCAAUCUGUUCCACCACAGGUCCCUCUGGCCAGCAGUGUCCCUGUCACCUAUCAUCAGCAACACAGCUCGGCCACCGAGCUGCCGUCCGACGAGACGCACGCACAAGUCCACAGAUUAGAAGAGGUUGUCCGUGAAUGUGGCGAUGGCAGGCUGUGGAUACCCUCGAUCAAUUGAUUAAUAUUUUAGCUCAUUAGGAAUAGGCAUGUAUGGAAAGGUCAUUCUCACAAAUUGACAUUUUUAUUCUUAAUUCUCUACAAAAUGAUCCUGUGUUUUUAGGUUUAUGUAUAAAAAGUGACCCUGAUAUUGGCCAUACAGUGGAUGUGGCCCCAUUAUGGUUAUGAUUAUCCGUUUGCAUUGUAACUUUGAUACCCUGCACUGCAUCCUCCUUGUUGCUAUGAAUAAACCAAUCAGCAGUGCUUUUCUGUAGUCACCCAGCAAAAAUGUGUAUAAAGCUUUGGUGGCUGGUAUCUUUGACAGAAGUGUAAGUUACUCCCAGUACAGGUUAAAUAGAUGACAAACCUAACAGUCAAAGUAAGCACUUCUUGCUCCCUUGUUUUUUCUUUAUUUUGCUCUUGCUGACUUCAGAAUCUACCAAUAAAGCCUCAUGUGAGUUUAGGAGUUUGCCGCCAACAACAAACCAAAAGUAAAAGUAGGACUUUGCAGUUGACUGAGUUUACUUUAAUCAGAGUAAGAAGUUGCCCAAGUAGUACUGCUACAUUAUAUUCAUAUGAAUCCACUUGUAUCCUGCGAUAAUGUCAGUUAAUGGAACCAGCUUCAAAUUCCCCCCCAAAGCUGUUUUCAGACAUCAAAUCCGAAAAAUCAUUAUUGUCAUUAGGCGCCUGAGCUUUUCUUGCCAUCAUAUGUGUCAGUGUCCACUGUCGGUAAGAUCUGUUGACUUCCUGCUUGACUGUGUUACUGUGCUGACAUGGCCA
rnacentral:lncRNA from 1 species